GCCAACAUGGCAUAGUGGUUUAGGUAUUGGACUAUGACUCUGGAGACCAGGGUUUGAAUCCCUGUUCAGCCA